GGGGUGAUAGCUCAGUGGUAGAGCACUUGUCUAGUAUGCAAGAGGCCCUGGGUUCAAUUCCUCAGCACCACA
rnacentral:tRNA from 1 species